rnacentral:lncRNA from 1 species
GUAUGACAGGACAACCAUCAUGGCGGCGCACAUCCACUCCUCCUUCACAGGUAAGUAACAUAUUAUAAAAAACGUAAUUUCUUGACAACUCCACACCAGCCCCACAAUCCAAAACCUCACAUCACCUACCACCACAAAGCACAUGCUGGGGACCCAAAAGGGGCCCUCAGCAUUGCUAAUCUUUCAUCCAAUACAUAACCAAGUCCCAACACCACGAGUUGGUUGUCAUCGCAAGAUCGCCGCCAGGUCGGAUAAAUUCCUUUCCUUCUUUUGGGAGCCUUCAAAUGACCAAUUCCACCAUUCUGUAACUCCUAAUCGGAAGCUAUAUCGUCUUCCAACUUCAUAAAUACGAUUCAUCCUUGACAUACUCAGGAGUACAUGCGACGUCUUCAGGUGAUUCAUGUGGGCCUGGAACAUAGGCUGGGGGUUCUGUAAAACCUUCCGGUUGACAAGUACACUCAUAACACCGUCUCCUUUUUGGAAAAGAACAAUUAGUAACGUUAGAAUUAUAACUAAAAUUUUUUGGAGCCCGAUACACAUAAGAGAAGAGGUGCGGGAUCCCUGUUCGGGCGCCAAUUUGCAAAGUCGCAAAUUCUAUCGACUCUAAUAUCAAUAA